UGGGGAAUCUUCCGCAAUGGACGAAAGUCUGACGGAGCAACGCCGCGUGAGUGAAGAAGGUUUUCGGAUUGUAAAACUCUGUCAACAGGGACGAACGGGCGAACGGUUAAGAGCCGGUUGCAGUGACGGUACCUGAGGAGGAAGCCACGGCUAACUACGUGCCAGCAGCCGCGGUAAUACGUAGGUGGCGAGCGUUGUCCGGAAUUAUUGGGCGUAAAGGGCGUGCAGGCGGGUUAAAAAGUCUUAAGUAUAAAUGCCGGGCUUAACUUGGUAUUGCUUGAGAAACUUUUGAUCUUGAGUUAAGGAGAGGAAAGCGGAAUUCCCAGUGUAGCGGUGAAAUGCGUAGAGAUUGGGAGGAACACCAGUGGCGAAGGCGGCUUUCUGGACUUAAACUGACGCUGAGGCGCGAAAGCUAGGGUAGCGAACGGGAUUAGAUACCCCGGUAGUCCUAGCCGUAAACGAUGGGUACUAGGUGUAGGAGGUAUCGACCCCUUCUGUGCCGGAGUUAACGCAAUAAGUACCCCGCCU
rnacentral:rRNA from 1 species